rnacentral:rRNA from 1 species
UACAGAGGUCUCAAGCGUUGUUCGGAUUCAUUGGGCGUAAAGGGUGCGUAGGCGGCGCGGUAAGUCGGAUGUGAAAUCUCGGAGCUUAACUUCGAAACUGCAUUCGAUACUGCCGUGCUUGAGGACUGGAGAGGAGACUGGAAUUUACGGUGUAGCGGUGAAAUGCGCAGAUAUCAGGAGGAACACCGAUGGCGAAGGCAGGUCUCUGGGCAUUAACUGACGCUGAGGAGCGAAAGCAUGGGGAGCGAACAGG